rnacentral:rRNA from 1 species
GAUGAACGCUAGCGGGAGGCCUAAUACAUGCAAGUCGAACGGUAAGGUCCCUUCGGGGAUACACGAGUGGCGGACGGGUGCGUAACGCGUACGAAACAUACCUUCAACAGGGAGAUACCUCCGGGAAACUGGAAAUAAUACCCCAUAGUAUUGUGACAUCGCAUGAUGUUACAAUUAAAGCUUUGGCGGUUGAAGAUUGUCGUGCGUCCGAUUAGCUAGUUGGUGAGGUAACGGCUCACCAAGGCGACGAUCAGUAGCUGGUCUGAGAGGAUGAUCAGCCACACUGGAACUGAGACACGGUCCAGACUCCUACGGGAGGCAGCAGUGAGGCAUAUUGCACAAUGGAGGAAACUCUGAUGCAGCAACGCCGCGUGGAGGAUGACGCAUUUCGGUGUGUAAACUCCUUUUAUGAGUCAAGAAAAAUAGACGGUAGCUCAUGAAUAAGCACCGGCU